rnacentral:rRNA from 1 species
UACAGAGGGUGCAAGCGUUGUUCGGAAUUAUUGGGCGUAAAGGGUGCGUAGGCGGUGCGGUAAGUCUGUUGUGAAAUCUCCGGGCUCAACUCGGAGUCUGCAACGGAAACUGCCGUGCUUGAGUAUGGGAGAGGUGAGUGGAAUUCCCGGUGUAGCGGUGAAAUGCGUAGAGAUCGGGAAGAACACCAGUGGCGAAGGCGGCCGGCUGGGGGCGCCCUGACGCUGAGGCGCGAGAGCGUGGGGAGCGAACAGG